GACGAACGCUGGCGGCGUGCUUAACACAUGCAAGUCGAACGGAAAGGCCCUGCUUUUGUGGGGUGCUCGAGUGGCGAACGGGUGAGUAACACGUGAGUAACCUGCCCUUGACUUUGGGAUAACUUCAGGAAACUGGGGCUAAUACCGGAUAGGAGCUCCUGCUGCAUGGUGGGGGUUGGAAAGUUUCGGCGGUUGGGGAUGGACUCGCGGCUUAUCAGCUUGUUGGUGGGGUAGUGGCUUACCAAGGCUUUGACGGGUAGCCGGCCUGAGAGGGUGACCGGCCACAUUGGGACUGAGGUUCCGCCCAGACUCCUUCGGGAGGCAGCAGUGGGGAAUAUUGCACAAUGGGCGGAAGCCUGAUGCAGCAACGCCGCGUGCGGGAUGACGGCCUUCGGGUUGUAAACCGCUUUCGCCUGUGACGAAGCGUGAGUGACGGUAAUGGGUAAAGAAGCACCGGCUAACUACGUG
rnacentral:rRNA from 1 species